AUGGAUGCAGAUGCCGAGUCCCGGGCUUCCCCUAACCUGGCCCUCCAGGCUGCAAUCUACGGAGGCCGGCCUUGGUUAUCUCCCCUCGUGGCCGAUCAAGGAGGCGAACAAUGUCAAUAUGUCAUUGACACCUCAGGGAACUUAAUAGUUGGCAUCCAAAUUCAGGCAUCUCCCGGGCAAAGCCCUACCGGAUCUGGUGGCGACGGGCGGCAGCUCUCAGCACGGUGCCACCCCUUGAGCAGGGGGCUCGGGUGGUGGCCGGCGGCGCGGUGCUCCCCCCGGCGCGCGUCGAAGAGCUCUGAUGUGGUGGUGGACGGUGGUGGUUGUGGGCAUGGUCCGUCGCCUCGGUGCUCCUGUCGGUCCGUGCGUGGGUGGUGGCUGCGCCGGCAAAACGGGGUGCGGCGGCGGCAACGUCGGCGGACCGAGGGGCUGCAGAUGUGGCGGCGUUGCUGCUCGGUGGAGCUUGGGCGCACUGCUGCGGGUGCUCAUGCAAGUUGUGUCAUGGAUCCGUCGGAGUCUUCCCCUGGAUCUGGAGAUCGGCAUAGGAUCCGAUGGCUGCUCGUGGCCGAAGGCCAAGGCUGGCUGGGACACGAGGCGCAGCGCCGGAUCUGGCGUCUUGGGCCAUCGAGACGGCUGCUGCUCAGCAGUGCGGUGGCGGCUCGCUGUUGGGAGCUAGGCUGUGCGCAGAAGGUGGAGGUUGGUGGUGGAUGGCCGAGGUGGUGCUCGUGGCGGACCAGCUGCUGUCAGAGGCGUAGGAGACUGCCAGGCGAAAGUCUGUCUCCGGCUUUGGUCAGAGACGGCAGCAGCGCCGCCCCCGGUGUGGGGUCGACGACGGUUGUUCGAUGGUGUUCUCUGGGGUUUGGCGGCGGUGCCAUUGGCAUCAUGGGACGGCCAUCUGUUUCCCCCCUCGUGAAGGUGUCUCACCCAUGUUGCUGGGGUCGACGGUGGUGUGUGAUGUGGUGGUGGUGGUGCGGCCGGCUCGCGCUGGUGUGCACGGUGAAGCGAUCCGGGUGUAGACUCGGCUCCUUGAUGCCCUUCGGCUUCAUCGGCGGUGCCGCUGUUGUGAUCCUUGAGGCACCAUGGAUGGUCUCGGUUGAUUGGAGCUCUUCGUCUACGGUGGUGGUGUUCUGGUGUGGCUUAGUUGGUAAUGGUUGCUCAAGACCCUCUCAUGGUUGCCAUUGUGUUGCCGCGAGCUUCGUGCUCUUGGUGUUGUCUCAGCUCAUCUUUGCUCAAGGUCGGCGCAAGAUGCCUCUCAAACUUGCUUCGUCCCGAUUUCCUAUGGCGGAGCCCCAAUCAAGGUGGAGGAACUCCUCCCCCGGUGAUUCUAAAAAAAAGGAAGCACAUUUGGUAAAGCUGCUGCCUUGUGACCAUGAGGUCACGGGUUCAAGUCCUGGAAACAGCCUCUUACAGAAAUGUAGGGAAAGGCUGCGUACUAUAGACCCAAAGUGGUCGGACCCUUCCCCGGACCCUGCGCAAGCGGGAGCUACAUGCACCGGGCUGCCCUUUUUAUACAUUAUUUUUUAA
rnacentral:rRNA from 1 species